GUAACGGCAGGAAAGAGGACUGUCAAGUCUGUCCAGAAGGCUAUUACUGUAAGGAGGGUACAUCCAAACCCACUUCCUGUCCACCGGCAACAUUUAGUCGGAUAAAGGGGGGCCGGAGAGCAGAGGAUUGCUCUGUGUGUCCUGCUGGCUACUUCUGUCCUCAUCCGGCCACAAUAAAUCCAAAAGUUUGUGGAACAGGAAGUUAUUCUGUAAGCCAGACAGCUAAUUCUGUUCUAAUGCAUGUCGUCUCAUUGUAUUAAAUGAAUACACCAUUUCAUUUAUCUGUCUCCCUCUCUUCUGGCUCUCUGUCUUGCUCUUUUUCGUUACGAUGAGGGGUCAGUGGAGUGUCAGCCAUGUUUGCCGGGUCACUACUGCAGCAAUGAGACAACCAGUGAAGAGGCCAUGCUCAGAGUAAUGGUCUGCCCUCCAGGUUUCCUCUGCUCACAGGGCCUGGAUCGAGAACCCCAGCGCUCAGCGGUAUUCUGCCCAAUUGGCUUUUACUGUCCCGGUGGAAGCAUUGUAAGUAUCAUUUCAAGGCUCAGAAACAUUACGAACAUCGUUGAUCAUUGUGUCAGAUGAUCAAUGGCACGAAACAUAGCAAUUAUUUUAUUUUUUAUUAUUUAUGCCCUACUUAGGAUCCUAAUCCUGUUCCGUGCCCCAAAGGAACCUACAGUCGACAGCCAGGACUACGUGACCCUUCAGACUGCACAAAAUGUCCCGAGGGCAAAUACUGCUACACAGAGAAUCCCCAUGAAGAGCCCAUUAUUGAACCAACAGGAAACUGUCCUGAUGGAUACUUCUGUCCUCCUGGUACCGGACAUCCAAACUCAUUUCCGUGCCAGUCUGGCUUCUUUAGGAAUGACUCGUAUGGACAUGGAGGAGAAGCUUGUGUGGAAUGUCCCCCUGGUCACUACUGUCCUACUCUGGCCACACACACUCCUACAGUCUGUCCACAGGGUUUCUACUGUACUGGGGGGAGCUCAGCCCCAGAGCCGUGUGAAGAGGGCACAUUUGGAUCCCGGCAAGCCCUGAGUGAAGCAUCACAGUGUACCCCAUGUAGUGGGGGGAAAUAUUGCACCGGUUUGGGCAAAUCUGAGCCCACAGGGGACUGUGAAGGAGGAUUCUAUUGUAGACAGAGGUCUACGAGUCCAGUAAGAUUA
ensembl:lncRNA